rnacentral:lncRNA from 1 species
AAUUAGUGAAUUGGUUUCCACCUGGAAGCAAGCCAGCAGUAGUGCCCUGAGAUGGCCCACUUUGGGCCAUAGAAACGCCAAGCUGUGCUCCUCACAUCUCCCAAUGAAACAAACAUCUGCUAGUGAGCCAAUUUACAGGAAGAUAAAAUGAGACUGUUGAGAAUAAUGGACCCAGGUGAAUAACUUGAUGUAAAGAAUAAGAUGGAGUACAGAUGUACAGAGGGCCAACUCCACAAGUAUACUAUGGAGAACCCUUGCUGGCUAUCCAAGUUCAGUGGACACCUAAGUGGCUCUUCACUGACCAGGUUUUAGUUAGUGAAAAGCAGAAGGAAAUGGUCAGGGGUUGGCGCUUAACCCAGGAGGAAUCAAGGACCAAGGACCCAGCUUUGGUGGAUACCCGACUGACUCUUUACUGACCAGUGGUGGGGACCUGAUUUUGAACCCCUCGACCCUCAGUUGACUCCUUAAAGUGUUUCUUUCUAGAAUCUUGCAGGAAAGUGGAAGGAAAAGGACACAGCAGGCAACAACAGAGCAGUGGACAAGGCUUCUUCAUGGCUCAAGACCACAGAGAAGUUUCACUCUUCCUUCUGCUGGUCCUGGAAGAAAGGAGUUUCUCUCAAUAGCUGGAGAUAAAACCUAACUUGCACAUUCUCUAGUGAGGGCAAAGGAAAGUCUGGAAACCCUCAAGUGCACCUGUAGGACUGCGAUGAGUGACUCAGCCCGGUGUGAAUGUUGGGGAGUCACAGGAGAUUC